GAGCUCCGUGGCGUGCGGGAGUUCCCUUCCCGCGAAAUCGUAGCUCUUUCGAGCGAGGACGUGCUGAAACACUACGCAGAGGCGGGCAUUGGGCAAGCACUCAGAAGCAUUUCGUUUGCCUUGAUCCUGGAGGCGCGCGGCCGUCUCCCGCUGCCGAGGAUUUGACGCGAACUCGUAAGUGACAUUCUAUUUCCUCGGUGUAUCGUAUGGUGACUUUUGUCUAGCGACAAAAUCAAAUUUUAUUUGCGCAAUUGAUGCGUCAAUCUGGUCGUCUCUUCUAGCGGGCAGAUCAGAAAUGUUCAGGCGAACGGUGGUUAUAUUUGUCCGUGGACCCAAGACAUCGUUGACGGGCAAAUAUGUAAGAUUUUCUUGUUUUUUAUUUGUGGCAUCUUAUUGUAAGACCGUAACCUAUUUUGCCGUUUUCUCUAAGGAACACUGCAACAAGGACUGGUGUGGAUAGCGUGCUGCGCUGGUCUCGCCAACUGAAAAGAAUUCUGUGACAUUACGAGCCAACAAGGAAAACCUCAAUCCAUCCUGUCUCCACAUAUUAUCAAGUUUGUGCACUGUGGAGCUUGAAGCACUUCUCAGAAUUUCAGCACACUCGCAUUUAUUUCUUUUCCGACAGAAGAACAAUGCAAGUCUCACAUCUUGAUGAGGGUGGCGAUUUACCCUCUCACAUCUCGACGGUAAAACGUCGCAUCUGCGUACGUGUUCAGGGCCAAGAGCACGAGAACUGGCCGAAAGAAGGGAGCCGAUCCAACAAGAAUGCCGUCCGUUUUAUAUAUAUGUCAGCGCUAUCAUGCAGCGAUCACAUGGACUGUACGGUUGCGUUGCACAAGGGCUGAUGCAAACGCUCCGUGCGAACAAUGUUGCAUGUAAAAUUAGUGCAUCUAUAC